GUAACAAAGGGGAUAGCAUUAAAGAAAAACAAAGGGGUAGCUAUAUACAUAUAGUUUUGUUGAAUAUUUAAUUGCUUUAGUUACUAUUCAAACAUCUUCAAUAUUUAUUACUUACUUUCCUUUCUAAUGCCGGCUAGUUAAACUAGUCGGUUUUUUU
rfam:Staphylococcus saprophyticus strain CNV2 Spades_3, whole genome shotgun sequence.